AACGAACGCUGGCGGCAUGCCUAACACAUGCAAGUCGAACGAUGCCUUCGGGCAUAGUGGCGCACGGGUGCGUAACGCGUGGGAAUCUGCCUUUCGGUUCGGAAUAACUCAGGGAAACUUGAGCUAAUACCGGAUAACGUCGCAAGACCAAAGAUUUAUCACCGAAAGAUGAGCCCGCGUAGGAUUAGCUAGUUGGUGAGGUAAAGGCUCACCAAGGCGACGAUCCUUAGCUGGUCUGAGAGGAUGAUCAGCCACACUGGGACUGAGACACGGCCCAGACUCCACCGGAAGGCAGCAGUGGGGAAUAUGGGACAAUGGGCGAAGGCCUAACCAGGCAUGGCGGGGUGAGUGAUGAGGGCCUUAGGUUUGUAAGGCUCUUUACCCGGGAAGAUAAUGACGGUACCGGGAGAAUAAGCCCCGGCUAACUCCGUG
rnacentral:rRNA from 1 species